rnacentral:rRNA from 1 species
CCUACGGGUGGCAGCAGUGAGGAAUAUUGGUCAAUGGACGAGAGUCUGAACCAGCCACGCAGCGUGAAGGAUGACUGCCCUCUGGGUUGUAAACUUCUUUUUUAUGGGAAUAAAAUGUUCCACGUGUGGGAUUUUGUAUGUACCAUAUGAUUAAGGAUCGGCUAACUCGGUGCCAGCCGCCGCGGUAAUACGGAGGAUCCGAUGGUUAUCCGGAUUUAUUUGGUUUAAAGGGAGCGUAGGUGGAUUGUUAAGUCAGUUGUGAAUUUUUGGGGCUCAACCGUAAAAUUGCAGUUGAAACUGGCAGUCUUGAGUACAGUAGAGGUGGGCGAAAUUCGUGGUGUAGCGGUGAAAUGCUUAGA